AACAAACGCUGGCGGCGUGCCUAAUACAUGCAAGUCGAACGGGGUAGCAAUACCUAGUGGCGCACGGGUGAGUAACGCGUGGAUAUCUGCCUUAGAGUGGGGGAUAACUAGUCGAAAGAUUAGCUAAUACCGCAUAAGACCACAAGAACUGCGGUUCAAGGGGUCAAAGGUUUUUCGCUCUAAGAUGAGUCCGCGUAAGAUUAGCUAGUUGGUGAGGUAAUGGCUCACCAAGGCGACGAUCUUUAACUGGUCUGAGAGGAUGAUCAGUCACACUGGAACUGAGACACGGUCCAGACUCCUACGGGAGGCAGCAGUAGGGAAUAUUGCACAAUGGAGGAAACUCUGAUGCAGCGACGCCGCGUGAGUGAUGAAGGCCUUCGGGUCGUAAAGCUCUGUCGCAGGGGAAUAACACAAUGAAUGUACCCUGUAAGAAAGGAUCGGCUAACUUCGUGCCAGCAGCCGCAGUAAGAC
rnacentral:rRNA from 1 species